rnacentral:rRNA from 1 species
CAGUCGCCACGGGAAUACGUAGGGUGCAAGCGUUAAUCGGAAUUACUGGGCGUAAAGCGUGCGCAGGCGGUUUGUUAAGACAGAUGUGAAAUCCCCGGGCUCAACCUGGGAACUGCAUUUGUGACUGGCAAGCUAGAGUGUGGCAGAGGGGGGUGGAAUUCCGCGUGUAGCAGUGAAAUGCGUAGAUAUGCGGAGGAACACCGAUGGCGAAGGCAGCCCCCUGGGCCAACACUGACGCUCAUGCACGAAAGCGUGGGGAGCAAACAGGAUUAGAUACCCCUGUAGUCCCUGUCUCUUAUAC